rnacentral:sRNA from 1 species
AAAUGGCUGGAGGGGGAUGGGGAUGUUGAAUUUGGAAAUUCGAGGGGACGCUGGUGGACGGAUUGGGUGCAAGGAGUUGGUGUUGAUGGAGGAGCAGGACGCCAGAGUCCCAGCCCUGGAACCAUUCAGAGUGGAGCAGGCACCACCUGUAAUCUACUAUGUCCCUGACUUCAUCUCCAAAGAAGAGGAGGAGUAUUUGCUUCGACAGGUUUUUAAUGCCCCAAAGCCAAAGUGGACCCAGCUCUCUGGGAGAAAGUUACAGAACUGGGGGGAGCCCUCAGGACCCCAUUGCCUUCCCCAGGUGGGCUUCCUCAUCCCCGGGGGAUGGUUCCUGAGCGGCUGCCCCCAUGGCUCCAGCGCUACGUGGACAAAGUGUCAGACCUCAGCCUCUUUGGAGGCCUCCCAGCUAACCAUGUCCUCGUGAACCAGUAUCUGCCUGGGGAGGGCAUCAUGGUAACCACACACCCUCGGCCAGUGUCCCCCCACUCAGACUUCUGAGCUGUGCUGGGGCAGGGGACCCUGUGCCCACCCUCACUCAUUAGGCAGCCACAUCUCCCAAACAGGCAUUCACCUCCCUGUCCCUGGCUUGGGAAGCCCCACUUUGACCCA